GGUUCCGUAGCCAAGUGGCUAAGGCAAUGGACUGCAACUCCGUGAUCGCCGGUUCAAAUCCGGCCGGAACCU
rnacentral:tRNA from 1 species